UGUGGCGCUUUGAGAUUGUGCCACAUCAUCACUUGAAAAUUAAAAAAAUAUAUAUAUAAAUUUUCAGGUGAUGACGUGGUACAAUCUUAGAGUGUCGC
rfam:Gossypium raimondii Chr06_contig_835, whole genome shotgun sequence.